rnacentral:rRNA from 1 species
GGUUCAGGACGAACGCUGGCGGCGUGCCUAAUACAUGCAAGUCGAACGGUCUUUCUAUGGAAGCUUGCUUCCACUGAGAAGAUAGUGGCGAACGGGUGAGUAACACGUGGGUAACCUGCCCAUAAGAGGGGGAUAACAUCCGGAAACGGGUGCUAAUACCGCAUAGUUUUUCUUGAUCGCAUGAUUGAGAAAGGAAAGACGGCCUUUGUGCUGUCGCUUAUGGAUGGACCCGCGGCGUAUUAGUUAGUUGGUGAGGUAACGGCUCACCAAGACGAUGAUACGUAGCCGACCUGAGAGGUGAUCGGCCACAUUGGGACUGAGACACGGCCCAAACUCCUACGGGAGGCAGCAGUAGGGAAUCUUCCGCAAUGGACGAAAGUCUGACGGAGCAACGCCGCGUGAGUGAAGAAAGGGUUUUCGGAUCGUAAAACUCUGUUGUCAGAGAAGAACAAGUUGGAGAGUAACUGCUCCAGCCUUGACGGUAUCUGACCAGAAAGCCACGGCUAACUACGUGCCAGCCGCCGC